rnacentral:rRNA from 1 species
GUGGGGAAUAUUGGACAAUGGGGGGAACCCUGAUCCAGCCAUGCCGCGUGUGUGAAGAAGGCCUUUUGGUUGUAAAGCACUUUAAGCGAGGAGGAGGCUACCGAGAUUAAUACUCUUGGAUAGUGGACGUUACUCGCAGAAUAAGCACCGGCUAACUCUGUGCCAGCAGCCGCGGUAAUACAGAGGGUGCAAGCGUUAAUCGGAUUUACUGGGCGUAAAGCGCGCGUAGGUGGCCAAUUAAGUCAAAUGUGAAAUCCCCGAGCUUAACUUGGGAAUUGCAUUCGAUACUGGUUGGCUAGAGUAUGGGAGAGGAUGGUAGAAUUCCAGGUGUAGCGGUGAAAUGCGUAGAGAUCUGGAGGAAUACCGAUGGCGAAGGCAGCCAUCUGGCCUAAUACUGACACUGAGGUGCGAAAGCAUGGGGAGCAAACAGGA